rnacentral:rRNA from 1 species
ACAUGCUUAUAGCUUAGGUUAAUGCACCAAAUUCCAUUAGUAAUCUGCAGUUAAGCGCGCUUGGGCUAGUAUAGUACUGGGAUGAGUGAGUGCCCAGGAAGUCCUAGUGUUUUACAUGCC